rnacentral:rRNA from 1 species
UCGUUUAGUGGCGGACGGGUGAGUAACGCGUGGGUAACCUGCCCUGUACAGGGGGAUAACAGCUGGAAACGGCUGUUAAUACCGCAUAAGCGCACAGGAGCGCAUGCUCCGGUGUGAAAAACUCCGGUGGUACAGGAUGGACCCGCGUCUGAUUAGCUGGUUGGCGGGGUAACGGCCCACCAAGGCAACGAUCAGUAGCCGGCCUGAGAGGGUGAACGGCCACAUUGGGACUGAGACACGGCCCAAACUCCUACGGGAGGCAGCAG